rnacentral:rRNA from 1 species
CCUACGGGAGGCAGCAGUGGGGAAUAUUGGGCAAUGGGCGCAAGCCUGACCCAGCAACGCCGCGUGAAGGAAGAAGGCUUUCGGGUUGUAAACUUCUUUUCUCAGGGACGAAGAAAGUGACGGUACCGGAGGAAUAAGCCACGGCUAACUACGUGCCAGCAGCCGCGGUAAGACGUAGGGGGCAAGCGUUAUCCGGAUUUAUUGGGUGUAAAGGGCGUGUAGGCGGGAGCGCAAGUCAGAUGUGAAAACUCAGGGCUCAACCCUGAGACUGCAUUUGAAACUGUGUUUCUUGAGUGCUGGAGAGGCAAUCGGAAUGCCGUGUGUAGCGGUGAAAUGCGUAGAUAUACGGAAGAACACCAGUGGCGAAGGCGGAUUGCUGGACAGUAACUGACGCUGAGGCGCGAAAGCGUGGGGAGCAAACAGGAUUAGAUACCCCGGUAGUC